GUCCUGCAGAGAAAUGGAGGAGUGGAGUGUGGCCAAAUCUCUUUUCACUGCCCUGAGCUGAAGGUUGUUUGCACAAAAACUUUUUUUUUCUAGUGAAGUGUUGAAAGAAACUCUAAUGUGUUUUUAAAGGGUGCUAGAAACCGUCGAAGACGCAUUAUGAUGCUCAGGGUUUGAUCUGUCAUAAGUCAGACCACCAACACCGACCUAAAGAAACCUAUCCACCAAAAACUAUGUCCUCGUGACAGAUCGGCCUGUCACGAUGUAAUGCUACUGGCAGGAUACAGAUUAUGCUCGUCCAUCUGGGGGAGUCUGAGCACAUGACACAGGCCUGUGGACUGAAACUUAAUCUCUGUAACUUUUUACCCUAAUAGAAUCAUCAACUAUUUGUUUUUAUUGUAUUGGCUCCAACUGAUUAUUCUGUAAAGAUGAGUUUUGAAACUUUUUUAAAUGUAUAAAGUCUGCACCGGUUUAACCGCAUCACAUUUUUUUUUAAAACUCUUUCUUCGGGGUCAUUUCUCUCUGACGCUCGUCCUUUAGACACUGUACCGGUCCUGGUUCUGAUUAACCUUGUCGUCACUUUGAUCUCCACUAAAGAGACUUUGCAUUUCUCAGUGAACUGUUAAGUAUCAUUGAGGUUGUUUAGCUUUCAAGAAUCACCUCCUUAUGUCUGAAACACGUCUGUCUACAGUAAAUAUCAGCUGCUCCGAAAUGAUACAUGUCAACAAAUGAAAUAACACGUUCAAUCGAACAGUUUGUUAGCUGAAGCCUCAUUAGCAUCUGUGCCGACAGUCAUAUGAUGUUAGCGUACUUUAACACGAAGCUAAUUCUGACCCAGUCGCCUGCAUUAGUAGUGACCCGGUAAAGCUCAGUUCUACGCGUUCCGAACCAGAAGUGUUCGGCCCGUACCGAUAAGCAGCUAACUAAACAUUAUCGUUAGCAUCGUUCUGUAAGCGAUCACUCCUGCAGCUAAUUGCUAUGCUCUGGAUGCUGAUCAGUAACGUUGGUUAGCAUUAGCCAGCAGCUAUCAGGCCAACUGUUGCUAAUUCUGCUCAACUUGUCUUUACAGCGUUGUUCCAAGCUAACUUGAACAGCGUCGCAUUUAGCGGUUUGACCACGAGUCGCCGUGUGAUACGGACUUACCCGCCAAAACAUUACUGGGUCUGAAAUCCUGUUUUAUUUCCACUUUGACUCAUCCCAUUGAUUUAAUCUCCUCUCCAUUUUAGCUAUGGCUAACGGGCACCAGGGGGCGCUGUUCACGCGAUGGGGGCGGGGGUGUCUUCUUCUUCUGUUAUUGUUUUCCUGUCUGACGAAUGCCAUAAGCGCCUCCUGCUGUUUGAACGACUUCAGGAAUUCAGGAACAAUUCUUUAAAGUGGGCAGAAACAUGACGCAUUGUUUUUUUUUUUUUUUUUAAAUCCGUCUGUUUAUAUUUGGGCUUACGUCAGUCUUCCACCUGCUGUUUGAUCUAAUGCUUCGUCACAGUCAUUGCUUUGAUACCAGCAGCAUCCUCACUGCUUCACUAUCCUGUAAAUCUUUCUAGCACACUUUACACUUGAACCAUACAAAUCAUAUAUACAAAAACUGCUAAUUACAUGGAUAGAUUGAUUUACAGCUAAAAGGUACUGCAACUAUAUUAUUCAAAAUAAAAAACGUUCUGAUAAUAGAAUGAAUUCUUGUUGAAAUAUAACCAGCAAUAAAUCAUGUCGACAUUAGUGGACAGAUAAAUAAUCCAAAUUUCCAUCCAUCCAUCCAUCCAUUUUCCAAAGAAGAAGCCAAUCAACCUAAUGCACGUCUGUGGACUGUGGGAGGAAGCCGAGAACCCGGAGAGAACCCACGCAAACACAGGGAGAACGUGCAAACUUCACACAGAAAGGAACCUCCGGGAAUCGAACCCGGAACCUUCUCACUGUGAGGCGAACCGCACCAACGUGCCGCCCUCCAAAUUUCCUCCAAAGAUAAAAUCAAUACUUUUUACAAGUAACUAAACAGUAUGGUUCUUUACGAGGUACUUGAUGUUAUCGCCUUUUUUAACUUCAAGGGUUUCCUCCUAUAAAAAGGACAGGCGUGAUUUUCCUGCAGUAGUCGGUUGUCUGACUUUCCGUCAUAUUGGUUUCAAUAAUGAUUUUUGCACUUACAAUGACUGACCAGUUAAUGGCAGUGUAACAGACUAAGGCACUAGCGUCCAAUGAAGUGAAGUAUAUGCGACUUCUCUAUCAGAACCCAUGCUUUAACAAGAAAACAGCUUUUAAAUAGCUGUCAACUGUAGUUACUACUAUGUAUGAAAGGGUUAACAUGACUGACAGAAAACCAGAAACAUGUGCUGCUUCAGAACUUUAUAUAAUGGUUUGAUUAUUAUCAUCAGUGAGCAACAGAUGAAACAGAUGAGUUACAUUUAAACAGACAGAUCAACAUUAAACAUCUCAAUAACACAAAAAGUGAUUUGCACUAUUUUGGUAGUGACCGGUGUUUAAUUUUUUUUUCACUAUCAAUCUUUAGAUCUGAUGUUUGUAGAUUUAGGUUUACUUAGAACAUCUGCGUGAAAAGUAAAAAGCAAAGUCGACAAAAUGUUAGAUGAAGUUUGUUAAACAUGUAAGAACCUGAGACCAGCUGAUUACUUAUUAUUACUUGUAAGAUGAACACCGCUUGAAUUAAAGUGAUUAAUGAUUAAAUAAAUUUAAAAGAACAACUGCUGCAUGUUUUUCAUCACUGAUUUCACAGCCAGAUGUCAGAUGUACAGUCUCCUCCAGGAUACCUCAUCUCAUGGGCCAGAACCGGACCACCUGGUUCUUUACCGAAGUCCACUAGGAAGUUUUCAUUCAGGGACAGACCUCCG